GCGGCAGGCUAGGCCGUCGCCCAUAACGGGAGGAAAGUCCGGGCUCCGUAGAGCAUGGCACCGGGUAAUACCCGGACAUCUGAAAGGAUGAUAGAAAGUGCCACAGAAAAUAUACCGCCUCCCCAAAGGGGGUAAGGGUGAAAAGGUGGUGUAAGAGACCACCGCUUCGAUGGUAACAUCGAAGGCAGGGCAAACCUUGCCAGGAGCAAAGUCAAGAAGCGGAGAGGUGCUCCCUUAUAUCCGCGGGUAGACUGCAGGAAGGCUUCGGUAACGAAGCCUGUAGAUAGAUGACGGUCCCUGACAGAACCCGGCUUAUCGGCCUGCCGUUUUU
rnacentral:RNase_P_RNA from 1 species